GCAUGAUAGUGUUUUGAAAGUAAAAAAAAGAUUCAAAAUCACAUUUUAUGUUGGACUAACGGACUAAAAAAAGACACAAAAUGACCAAAAAAAGACACAAAAUGACAAAAAAAGACACAAAAUGACCAAAAAAGACACAAAAUGACAAAAAAAAUACACAAAAUGACCAAAAAAGACACAAAAUGACCAAAAAAAGACACAAAAUGACCAAAAAAGACACAAAAUGACUUACAAAGACAUGAAAAGAAUUCAAAAAUGGACAAAAUAGCCCAAGACUCCAUAGAGUUAAGUUGUUAACCCAUUUCUUGUUCCCUGAAAAAGGCCUACUUGUAUAAUUCUGAAAUGUACAUUAUUUUUCAGUUUUGCUUACCUUUUUUAUUUACCUCUGGCAGUUCGCCACUUACCUUUGUACCCUCCCUGGCUUUUCAUUUGACUUGAACUGCUUGAAUUUCAAUAAAAAACUGGAAAAAUUGGGGUGUUCUAAAACUUUUGACCGGUAGUGUAUAUAUUUUUUGUGAUUAUAGAAUCUUAAUCAGUUUAAGCAAAUGGAAUAUAUGUAUUUAAAGUCAAACAGAAAAGUCUUCAGUCUUGAUUGAAAAGAGUUGAGAGCUGCAGCAGACCUGUAGUUUAUUUGGGAGCUUGUUCUAGAUAUGUGGUGCAUAAAAACUGAAUGCUGCCUCUCCAUGUUUAGUUCUGACUCUGGGAACAUGGAGCAGACCUGUCCCAGAUGAUCUGAGAGUUCUGGAUGGUUCGUAGCUAAGCAGAAGAUCAGAAAUGUAUUUCGGCCCUAAACCAUUCAGUGCUUUUUAGACCAACAAUAGUGUUUUGAAAUCAGUUCUUUGACAGACAGGAAGCCAGUGUAAGGACCUCAGAACUGGAGAAAUAUGAUCUACUUUUUUGGUCUUAGUAAGGACUCGAGCUGCAGCGUUUCUGAAUGAGCUUUUUUGUUUAAUUUGAGAAAAUUAUUCUCCAUUGUAUCGUCGAUUUGCUCAAUGCAUCUACAUAGUUCUAGUAUUGACUAUAGUCCCCUGGUGAUAUUGUUAUGGAAAUUUGUGUGUUGUCCUCAUAGCUAUGGUAAAAUAUUUUGUUGCUUUUCAUGAUCUGAGCCAGUGGCAGCAUGCAGAUGUUAAACAGAAGAGGCCCCAGGAUGGAACCUUGCGGAACUCCACAUGUCAUUUUUGCAUAUUCAGAUGUGUAAUUACCUACAGAGACAACGUAGUCCCUGUCCUUCAAUAAAUGUCAUUGAAGACCUUCACAAGAGCCGUCUCAGUGCUGUGGUGUGGUCUAAAUCCUGACUGGAAGACAUCAGAACAGCUGUUCAUUAACAUUAAGUUGUUCAGCUGCUUUAAAACAGCUUUUUCAAUGAUUUUACUGAGAAAUGGGAGGUUUGAUAUUGGUCUAUAAUUUCUCAUAAGUGAAGCGUCUCAAUUGUUCUUUUUAAAUAAAGGUUUGAUAACAGCAGUUUUCAGGGACUGUGGGAAGACACCUGAAAGAAGAGGCGUGUUAACAAUCUGUAGGAGGUCUGAGGCCAUGCAGUUUGAGACAUUUUUGAAAAGGUCUGUUAUAUAUCCUCCAAGUUUUUAGCGUUAAUCACGUAAAAUUGUGUCAUGGUAUUUGAAUUGAUUUUAAGUGGACUCAUUGACUCAUCAUUAAGUGGACUCAUUGAUAACACAUUUCCUGCACAUGAUGUUGAGGCACUGACCAAUCUUUAAAAACCUCAUCAUGCAGAAAUGAAGCAGCCAGCAUGUUUUUCUAUGAUUGUUUUAAGGAUGAAAAGAGAAUUAGUCGACGAUGAAUGGUUUAUGUUAAGCAGCUGAACACAUUUGAACGAAACAGUUUUCAGGCAGGAUAACAAUUUAAGGAAUUAAUUCAGUUUAUACCAGUUCAAAACAGUGUAACUAUAUCUUUGAUAAAAACAUGUUACUUCCUGCUACCUGGUAUGAAAUAAUCCACUCUUAGGUUACAUGUAGCUCAACAACUCUUGUUUCUCUUCUGCAGAGAUACAAAAUCAGCGUGAGCUUCUGUGCAUGUUGUGAAACCUGCAGUCUGAAGGGCAGAAGCUUUAACGCUCAUCGACAAGCUUAGUUUACACUUUGUCUGAAUAAAGUUGAUUGACAAUGUCUCGAUUCAUGUUGUACUUACAGUGGAAAGGUGUCGUACAGCAGAUUAACAGUCUCAGAGUCGACAGCAGAUCUGCUCUUUAACUGCUGUGUGACUGACGAGCCUUACACUGACUGUUGUGCAACAUGUGGGUCAGAGGCAAGGGUCAACACAGGUUGUUUGAUGAUUGAACUGACUGAAGCUGUGAUGUUUCACUGCAAUUGUAGUUUGAAAUGAUCAAACAGAGACAUGUCAGGCUAUGACAAAUAUUUCCUGAUGUUUACAAGAGAAAUGCUGCCAGGAUGGAGAAGCUGCACAAACACAAAGAACUCAAACACUUUAAUGUUUCCACCUCUUAUUCCUCUGUUUGAGAUCCUCAUCAUGUGCUUGUGAAUGCAAGAUUCAUGGAACAUUUAACGAUUUAGCAAUUGGCAUGACUUUUUGUCCAAUCAUGUACGAUUUAAUCUCUAUUUUUUGUGUUUUCUGUGCACUCCAGGAAGAGUAAGUCCCAUCAGGAUACGACACAAACUCAUGUUAAAGUAUUUUUUCCUGAGCUUUUUGUCUCAUUCUGGGUUUUACUUUAGAAGCUGAAACCACAAUAAGGAAUAUUUUUAUUUUUUGUUUUUCUUACAGUUUGAGGCUGAAGACAUGCUACUCUCUAAUAUUUACACCUCCCUUAUACCUCUCCUCUCACUGCUUUGAUCAUAUUUAUACAUUUUAAACAUUUCAAGAUAUCAACUGAAUAUCUUUGUGUUUUUUGUCAUUUAUUAUACUUUGCAUUUGUUCAUCUUAUAAAGAAUGUAUUCCAGCAAAUGCACGAUUAAAUGAACUCAAACCAUAUAUAAAAAUACGGUGAAGAGUUUGAAUGAAUGAGAGUGAAAAAUGUGCCAGAAAGCAAAACAUUAAUCAAAUACAGUCAGGUUGAGAGAAUUCAUACAGACGCUAAAUCCUGAAUGUGACACAUUAAAUGUACAAAUAACAAUAUUGGAGAAAAAGUCAUUUUAGUGAGUUUGCUGGGACAUAUAAUAAGUGACAAAUGCAUUUGGCCACUUUAUCUUGUGAUGAAAAGGAGAAUAUAAGUUCAUAACAACUUUGAUUCUUAGUGCAAGUUACAGGAGUGCUUUAGAGCUGGUCCAACUGAUGAAAUAAAAACACACUGACAUGUUGGUAGACAUUGCUCCCUGUCACAUGUUCCUGCUGGCUGGAAAACAAAAAUGUUGUUCAACUUGUUUAGUUUCAGUCGACCUAUCAAAAUGUUCGCGCCUCACCAGAGGAUUUUGACAUUGUUGAUCAGAGGCUGAAAACAUGCUACUUUCUAAUAUUUACACCUCCCUUAUACCUCUCCUCUCACUGCUUUGAUCAUAUUUAUACAUUUUAUACAUUUCAAGAUAUCAACUGAAUAUCUUUGUGUUUUUUGUCAUUUAUUAUAUUUUGCAUUUGUUCAUCUUAUAAAGAAUGUAUUCCAGCAAAUGCACGAUUAAAUUAACUCAAACCAUAUAUAAAAAUACGGUGAAGAAUUUGAAUGAAUGAGAGUGAAAAAUGUGCCAGAAAGCAAAACAUUAAUCAAAUACAGUCAGGUUGAGAGAAUUCAUACAGAAGCUAAACCUGAAUGUGACACAUU